rnacentral:snoRNA from 1 species
GCCGAGACUAGAGUCACACCUGGACACUGCCUGUUGGCCUGGUGUGCUGGAGUGCUCGGACAGCAGCCACUAACCUAUUCACUGCCUGGGCCCCUCCCUGCCUCAGUCAGUCACCAGGUUAGUGACAGGA